GCCAUACCAUGCAGAAUAUACCGAUUCUCGCUCGAUCACCGAAGUCAAGCAUCAUCGAGAUCGGUCAAUACUUAGGGAGGGUGACCACCUGGGAACACAGCGUGCAGU